GCUAAAGCCCUUGGCCAUUUCUGCUUCUGUUUGUCAGCUUCUCCGGAGCUCUUCUGCCGUCGUGGUUGGCGGCACAAUCAUGGUGAAACGGCGUCGUGAAGAAACUGAUUCCAAUGGAGUGCCGGCAAUCGAACUGGCGACGUCGUACAACACGGUUUUCGUAGAUACCAACUUUGAUACUCACUUAGCUUUAGUUGUCUCCGACUCGGAUUCUGUCUUCUAUCUCAAAAGCAGAAAAGGCUGCGUUUGAACAUUUAAGGUGCUUUCCUGAGUUGAAAGAGUUGAAGAUUUCUUCAGUGAAGGUCUGUUGCUAAUCCCCCAACUCAUUGUUUUUUUGUCUAUAUAUAUUCUUGUAAAAUCAUGAUGAUCGAUGCCUUUUGUUAUUCCUAAAACGUUGAAACGGAGAGGACAUUACUAUCACCUGUCUGAUACUAUGCUUGUCAGAAGUGUUUUUGAGGGUAUAAAAAAUGGCUGGUUCCUUUCUAUAUAUUGAUGCUUCUAGCUGUGACCAACGGUUACUUUGCAUAACAUAUGCGCAAACUGAAGCUGACAAUCAUUCGUUCACUGAAAUGGCUAAAGAGAAGGUUUUUGAUACUAAUGAACCUUACCCAGCUCACGGAAACUUGGCUUCAAGCUCCAUUGUGAAAAAGAAGAAAGUCGCAAAGGUCAUUGGUGAAUUCAAGACCAUGGAUGAAUGAAUGACAGCAACUUUCUCCCGGAGCUGGUCCUGUGGCUAUGAAGCGUCACAUAGAAGAAGGCGUUGCCACAGAUACCCACACUUCAAAGCAUGGCAUAGAUGAUGAUGCUUCUGAAGUUAAGGUUGUUGGAAAUGAUACUAAUGAAGGAGAAAGAUAGCAUAUAAACAUGAGAUCCAAAAAUGCCAGUGCUGAACCUUUACUUUCUGAUCACAGUAAUAAGGUGUCAAAAUUGGAAAAGAAGAAAUGUAGGAUGGGUGGGGCAAGUGCUGAAAUCUCUGCUGUGCAGGACCUGCAAUGUGGGAAUAGGAACAAUGAUGCACUUGAUGAAACAUCACAGUCUGGGACUAUUGCGAAUAAAGUGAAAAAAAUUGGAUAGCUGUCAGGGUUCCACCGGGUUUAAUCGUAGGGAUGUUGCAAUUCCGGAGAACUCCACAGAACAUAGACCAGUAAUAAAGGCAGCUUUAGCAGAAGCGUUGGAGGACCAAUCUUUGAGAACAAAUAUAGCCCAUCAGAAAAGGAAAAAGAAGAAGGGAAAGGAAAGGACUCAUCCACGUGCCAUGAUGAAGGAGUUGAAAUGAAGAUCUUUGACAAGUUGACUGAUGUUGACACUACUAUUCAAUCUGGACUGAAAGAAACGGUAUGCAUUCACAGAAGUUGAGUUAAAAUGAUAUCUAACUUUGCUGCUGCAUUGAAUCCAACUGAUAUCAUGAAGACCCAACCAGUGUUUUCAACAGAUUUCUCUUAUAGUUUGCUGACAAUCGCAGAUGUGACUAGCAAUCCAAACUUUUAUGGCGCUUCUAAAUUUGUUAUAAGAAAAUGAUCAGUUGGAAAUUCAUAAUGCUGAAAUUUAUGAUAGUUGUAAACAAAAUGUCACUGUUGAAUUACUGUCUGUAAUAUAAAUGUGAAAAAUUCUUGAUCUUGAAAUUAACGAUACAAGUGUAGUGUCUGUUAGUGAUUUUUGCAACA